GGAGUUGUGGCUCAGCGGUAAAGCAUUCGCCUAUCAUGUGGGAGGCCCUGGGUUUGAUCCUCAGCACCA
rnacentral:tRNA from 1 species